AGAAGUUGAUCCUGGCUCAGAUCGAACGCUGGCGGCACGCCUAACACAUGCAAGUCGCGCAGUCCUUCGGGACCGAGCGGCGGACGGGUUAGUAACGCGUGGGAAUAUGCCCAUCACUAAGGAAUAGCCUCUGGAAACGGAGAGUAAUACCUUAUACGCCCUUCGGGGGAAAGAUUUAUCGGUGAUGGAUUAGCCCGCGUAAGAUUAGAUAGUUGGUGGGGUAACGGCCUACCAAGUCGACGAUCUUUAGCUGGUUUGAGAGGAUGAUCAGCAACACUGGGACUGAGACACGGCCCAGACUCCUACGGGAGGCAGCAGUGGGGAAUCUUAGACAAUGGGCGCAAGCCUGAUCUAGCGAUGCCGCGUGAGUGAUGAAGGUCUUAGGAUCGUAAAGCUCUUUCACCAGGGAUGAUAAUGACAGUACCUGGAAAAGAAACCCCGGCUAACUCCGUGCCAGCAGCCGCGGUAAUACGGAGGGGGUUAGCGUUGUUCGGAAUUACUGGGCGUAAAGCGCACGUAGGCGGAUUAAAAAGUUGGGGGUGAAAUCCCGGGGCUCAACCCCGGAACUGCCUCCAAAACUAGUAGUCUAGAGUUCGAGAGAGGUGAGUGGAAUUCCAAGUGUAGAGGUGAAAUUCGUAGAUAUUUGGAGGAACACCAGUGGCGAAGGCGGCUCACUGGCUCGAUACUGACGCUGAGGUACGAAAGCGUGGGGAGCGAAAGGGAUUAGAUACCCCUGUAGUCCACGCCGUAAACGUUGUACACUCGCUAUUGGCGGCUUCGACCCCGUCAGUGGCUAAGCUAACGCGAUAAGUGUACCGCCUGAGGACUACGGCCGCAAGGCUAAAACUCAAAGGAAUUGACGGGUCCCCGCACAAGCGGUGGAGCAUGUGGCUUAAUUCGAUGCAACGCGAAGAACCUUACCAGGCCUUGACAUGUAGUGGACCGGGGCAGAGAUGCCCUUUCUCUUCGGAGCCGCUUCACAGGUGCUGCAUGGCUGUCGUCAGCUCGUGUCGUGAGAUGUUCGGUUAAGUCCGGCAACGAGCGCAACCCACAUCCUUAGUUGCCAGCAGUUCGGCUGGGCACUCUAGGGAAACUGCCCGUGAUAAGCGGGAGGAAGGUGUGGAUGACGUCAAGUCCUCAUGGCCCUUACGGGUUGGGCUACACACGUGCUACAAUGGCAGUGACAAUGGGUUAAUCAAAAAAAACUGUCUCAGUUCGGAUUGGGGUCUGCAACUCGACCCCAUGAAGUCGGAAUCGCUAGUAAUCGCGUAACAGCAUGACGCGGUGAAUACGUUCCCGGGCCUUGUACCCACCGCCCGU
rnacentral:rRNA from 1 species